UCUUGAACUCUACCCUUCUGUCCUAGCUUCUUCACCCUCCCCCGUCUAAUAUGAUCAAAGUACUUCUUUUGUGUGUCCCGUGUAAAGUUGAUAGGAGCAUAUGCUUCCAAACAACUUUGAGUGGAGUCGUUCGAAAAGAAGUUUCUACGGCCCCCUUGCUCAUUUAACACUGCAUCCGGGUGCCGAUGGAGAUACAGCGACCCUUGCUCACUUAUCACUGUGUUUAAUUAAAAUAAUCCAUGUGGAUAACGACCUUACUUGCGCCAACUAUAAUACGAUAAUCAUGUUUGUCUUGCAAGUAAUUUAGGUGUUUUUAGCCUUUUUGCGCAAAUGGUAAAAAUCUUAUCAAAUCUCAAAUUCUCAAGUUUAAAUUCCAUAUAAGUAUGUGUCAUAUCCAAAUUUCCAUGAGUGAGAGUUUAAAAAUAAAAAAAUAAUGUGUUCAAAUUUCAUUGUUCUUUUUGGUUAACCAAAGAAAAAAAAAUCAUAAAUACUAGAAAUAAAAUUCCAUUAUUUCUAUUUUUAUUAUUUAAAAUUCUUUAAUUAUCUUAAAUUUUCUUAUCUAAACAUACUAUAAUAAAAAAAUUAAAGUACAAAAAUCAAUUUUCUACUGCUAAUUCUAAUUGUUGAAAAUCCAUGAAAGUCCCAAUAUCCCAAUAUAGUAAAAAUGAAAAUGCCCAACUACCCCAAUUCAUAAGCCCGUAAAAUACCCAAUGCGAUGUUUUAAAAUGUGGAAGCAUGUCAAGCCCCGACCCGUGAAUAAAGACUAUUCACGAGUUAUGAUGUGAGCCAUAUCUUAGCUAUGGAAAUAAAUUCUACAACCAAGAUAUGGUGGAAAAAUAAAAUAAAAUUAUUUGGAACUGAUUACACAAUACACAAUACAUCAACAAAAUCUUACAUAAAAAAUUAUUGAAUACGCAGCGGAGUAACUAUGGUGCACAAAUUAAUUUACAACAAAAACUACCAAUUACAUGAUAAUUAAAUUGUAACAAUUCUUUCAAAUGCAUGAAAUAUAUGCAAAUGAGAUAGAUGAAUGUACUCACUCCCUUCUAAUCCCGCUAACACAUACCUAAGGCACCCAAGCAUGCACGUCCCAUACCAUGCUUAUACCACUUGGCUCCGAAUACCUUAGAAUAUGAGUUAACUCCCCUUCAUCCCUUAAACCCAAUUUUUGUAAUUAAACUCUUAGUUUCCACUUUAUUAUAUAGGCACUUCCCCCGACACCCAAUUGUAUAUUCAAGCCCUUCCCCCGACGCUUGACAUAUACAAGAUUUCAUUAUUUUAUAAUCAACCAAUUUUUAUACUCAAGCCCUGCACCCUACACCUGACAUAUACAAGGUUCAUUAUUUUUAUAUUCAAGGCAAACUUCAGCCCUUGAAUAUCCUCACAACUCAAACACAAUUGAACUCUCUUUCUUGCUUUUCAAUGCAUAUGUUUAUGUCAUGUUCACAUAGAUAUCAAUAAUCACAUUCUAUCAUAUAAUUUGCAAAACUAGUCAAAAUUGUAUUAUAUUACCGAUAAUAUAGUAUUGAUAACACACAAUAAUCUAAUUGAGAAAUAUUACUUUACCAUUUUACUCCAUCUCUUUCUAGGUGAUAUGGAUGCAUAAACCCAUUUGAGUUCCAUAGUGCAAUUAUGUUGGGUAAAUGGAUAUUUUUUUAUGGUUUGGUGGGGGUGUUUCUUAUGGCAAUGAU
rnacentral:lncRNA from 1 species